rnacentral:rRNA from 1 species
UACGUAGGGUGCGAGCGUUGUCCGGAAUUAUUGGGCGUAAAGAGCUCGUAGGCGGUUUGUCGCGUCGGCCGUGAAAUCUCCACGCUUAACGUGGAGCGUGCGGUCGAUACGGGCAGACUUGAGUUCGGUAGGGGAGACUGGAAUUCCUGGUGUAGCGGUGAAAUGCGCAGAUAUCAGGAGGAACACCGGUGGCGAAGGCGGGUCUCUGGGCCGAUACUGACGCUGGAGGAG